rnacentral:misc_RNA from 1 species
GAUGACCACCAAGUUGUUGGUUUGCUUUGUCAUGAAAAUAAUCAAAAUGUGGCUCAUACUUUUGACCAUUCUCAUAGUGUAGUAUCUGCAUUGCCUCGCCAUUUUCCUCUGGAAGGAAGGUCCAGGCAGCAAUCUUUCGCUCAAUUCCUCCAACAGUCUCAUCCUGGCGCUUGUCAAGAAACAUGCCAGAGCUAGUCCGAACCUCACUCGCGACACUCUUCCCCGACUCAUUAUCAGCUACCAUCGAUAUCUCCAAUU